UACGAAGGGGGCUAGCGUUGCUCGGAAUCACUGGGCGUAAAGGGUGCGUAGGCGGGUUUUUAAGUCAGAGGUGAAAUCCUGGAGCUCAACUCCAGAACUGCCUUUGAUACUGAAAGUCUUGAGUAUGGGAGAGGUGGGUGGAACUGCGAGUGUAGAGGUGAAAUUCGUAGAUAUUCGCAAGAACACCAGUGGCGAAGGCGGCUCACUGGCCCGGUACUGACGCUGAGGUGCGAAAGCGUGGGGAGCAAACAGGG
rnacentral:rRNA from 1 species